GUGGAUUAGAUACCCUAGUAGUCCACGCUGUAAACGAUGUCAACUAGCUGUUGGUUAUAUGAAUAUAAUUAGUGGCGCAGCAAACGCGAUAAGUUGACCGCCUGGGGAGUACGGUCGCAAGAUUAAAACUCAAAGGAAUUGACGGGGGCCCGCACAAGCGGUGGAGCAUGUGGUUUAAUUCGAUGCAACGCGAAGAACCUUACCUACCCUUGACAUACAGUGAAGCUUGCAGAGAUGUGAGUGUGCCUUCGGGAACACUGAUACAGGUGCUGCAUGGUUGUCAACU
rnacentral:rRNA from 1 species